UACGUAGGGUCCGAGCGUUGUCCGGAAUUACUGGGCGUAAAGAGCUCGUAGGUGGUUUGUCGCGUUGUUCGUGAAAACUCACAGCUCAACUGUGGGCGUGCGGGCGAUACGGGCAGACUUGAGUACUGCAGGGGAGACUGGAAUUCCUGGUGUAGCGGUGGAAUGCGCAGAUAUCAGGAGGAACACCGGUGGCGAAGGCGGGUCUCUGGGCAGUAGCUGACACUGAGGCGCGACAGCGUGGGGAGCAAACAGG
rnacentral:rRNA from 1 species